rnacentral:lncRNA from 1 species
UUUUCCUCCUGCUCUCAUAGAAACCCAUAAACAUGAAAAAGAGUUAUCUUGCAUGGAUUCUCAUCCUGUUAUAUGCUCAAAUACUCCUACCAAGCUUGGUUCAAGCAAAUCCCCAGAAAUUGGAGCAAGAAAAUCACCGUGAGAAAUAAAUUAAUCAUUGACCGUCUGUUUUAUAUUGAGAUUCGGUUCCAUUUAAAAUUUAAAUUCAGUUUAAUGUUUGAUAUGCAGGCACAAGCAGAAAAGUGGAUUAUGAUGCAAAUGCUCAUGAUAAAGCAUUUGUAGCAGAAAAUGAAACAAUUUGGACAAAAAAGGAACGGUCGGGGAGAGGACCUAAUGGUGGUCCAUAUGUGAAUCAACAUCGACCCAAAAAAAAUGCAGCAGCACUGUUAUAUACACCUUCGUUGGUCAUUUUUAUGAUGUUUUUUUCUCCUACCGUCGCCUUUGCCUAGAUGUUUUGUGUGAGCUUAGAACUUUAUCUCUUUCAGCUCAUUUUGGUGUUGGGUUUCCAUAAUUUUCUCGAUUUGAUCAUGGCUGUAAUUACACUGACGUGUUCUGUUUGAUUUUAUUAAUGUUCAAGACGUACUUAAUAUCAAUUAUACUUUCUUCAGAUUUAUGUUGUAUUACACUGUAGAUUACCAAAAAUUCCUUAUAAAGAAUCAUAUCAU